rnacentral:rRNA from 1 species
CCUACGGGAGGCAGCAGUGAGGAAUAUUGGUCAAUGGUCGGGAGACUGAACCAGCCAAGCCGCGUGAGGGAGGAAGGUACAGAGUAUCGUAAACCUCUUUUGUCAGGGAACAAAGACUGGGACGCGUCCCCGGAUGAGUGUACCUGAAGAAAAAGCAUCGGCUAACUCCGCGCCAGCGGCCGCGGUAAUACGGAGGAUGCGAGCGUUAUCCGGAUUUAUAGGGCUGAAGGGGUGGGCAGGCGGGCGGUUAAGUCAGCGGUCAAAGCCAGGGGCUAAACCCCGGCCCGCCGUUGAAACUGGCAGUCUGGAGUGGGAGAGAGGUAAGCGGAAUGCGCGGUGUAGCGGUGAAAUGCGUAGAUAUCGCGAAGAAC